GAAUUCACUAGUGAUUGGGCACGGGGGGAACGCGAAGAACCUUACCAGCCCUUGACAUCCCGAUCGCGGAUACGAGAGAUCGUAUUCUUCAGUUCGGCUGGAUNGGAGACAGGUGCUGCAUGGCUGUCGUCAGCUCGUGUCGUGAGAUAUUGGNUUAAGUCCCGCAACGAGCGCAACCCUCGUCCUUAGUUGCCAUCAUUAAGUUGGGCACUCUAAGGAAACCGCCGGUGACAANCCGGAGGAAGGUGGGGAUGACGUCAAGUCCUCAUGGCCCUUACACGNUGGGCUACACACGUGNUACAAUGGCGGUGACAGAGGNCCGCAAACCCGCGAGGGGUAGCUAAUCUCCAAAAGCCGUCUCAGUUCGGAUUGUCCUCUGCAACUC
rnacentral:rRNA from 1 species